AUGAGGCUCAAAGUGCAUAAGCAAACUUGGUUAGAUAGUAUCUACAAGGUGAAAGAAAAAUGGGCCGAAUGUUAUAUGAGAGAUGUCUUUAGCUUGGGAGUGAGAAGUACACAAUUAAGUGAGAGCUUCAACAAUGCAUUGAAAAAUCAUUUGAAAUCAGAUUUUCAUAUUCUUCGAUUCUUGAUGCAUUUUGAGAGGACAAUGGCGGUAAAAAGAAGAGCUGAAUUAGAAUCUGAAUUCGAUGCAAUAAAGAAUAUACCAAUAAUUAAGAUGAAGACUCCUAUGUUGGUAGAAGCAAGCGAAGUAUACACUCCGAUUAUUUUUGAGGCUUUCCAAGGUGAGUAUGAAAGAUCAACGGCUGCAUGUUGUAGAGCAUUGGAUGGAAAUAACAGAUUUGUUGUUGCUAUUGCGAGGUUGCAUGGAGAUUUACAGUUUGAGGAGGAGCGCAUAGUGGUAGGUGAUCCUUUGACCAAAACGGUCUCAUGUAGUUGUGGGAUGUUCAAUAGGACAGGAAUCUUGUGUGCACAUGGUCUAAAAGUGCUUGAUUUGAUGAACAUAAAGACAUUGCCGGCACAUUAUGUCUUGAAGAGGUGGACUAGAGAAGCUCGCAGUGGAAGUAUUCAAGAUAGACAAGGAAGGAAUGUGGUAGAAAAUCCAAAAAUGGAAGCUGAACUUCGAUACAAGGAUUUGUCUCAUAAAUUUCACAAAAUGGCACAAAAAGCAGCCAACUCUCCACAAUGUUGUAUUCUAUUGGAUAAUGCACUUGAUUCCGUCGCUCCGCAUAUACAUGAUUUACCCAAUGCAUCCACUAGUGCCAUGAAUGAACUAUGUAAAGACAAAGAGAAUGUUUGA
rnacentral:rRNA from 1 species